UGGAGAGUUUGAUCCUGGCUCAGAUUGAACGCUGGCGGCAGGCCUAACACAUGCAAGUCGAACGGUAACAGGGAGCAGCUUGCUGCUCUGCUGACGAGUGGCGGACGGGUGAGUAAUGUCUGGGAAACUGCCUGAUGGAGGGGGAUAACUACUGGAAACGGUAGCUAAUACCGCAUAACGUCUUCGGACCAAAGUGGGGGACCUUCGGGCCUCAUGCCAUCAGAUGUGCCCAGAUGGGAUUAGCUAGUAGGUGGGGUAACGGCUCACCUAGGCGACGAUCCCUAGCUGGUCUGAGAGGAUGACCAGCCACACUGGAACUGAGACACGGUCCAGACUCCUACGGGAGGCAGCAGUGGGGAAUAUUGCACAAUGGGCGCAAGCCUGAUGCAGCCAUGCCGCGUGUAUGAAGAAGGCCUUCGGGUUGUAAAGUACUUUCAGCGGGGAGGAAGGSRKUGWGGUUAAUAACCRYAKCSAUUGACGUUACCCGCAGAAGAAGCACCGGCUAACUCCGUGCCAGCAGCCGCGGUA
rnacentral:rRNA from 1 species